GAUGAACGCUGGCGGCGUGCCUAAUACAUGCAAGUCGAGCGAACAGAUGAGAAGCUUGCUUCUCUGAUGUUAGCGGCGGACGGGUGAGUAACACGUGGGUAACCUACCUAUAAGACUGGGAUAACUCCGGGAAACCGGGGCUAAUACCGGAUAAUAUUUUGAACCGCAUGGUUCGAUAGUGAAAGACGGUUUCGGCUGUCACUUAUAGAUGGACCCGCGCCGUAUUAGCUAGUUGGUAAGGUAACGGCUUACCAAGGCGACGAUACGUAGCCGACCUGAGAGGGGGGUCGGCCACACUGGAACUGAGACACGGUCCAGACUCCUACGGGAGGCAGCAGUAGGGAAUCUUCCGCAAUGGGCGAAAGCCUGACGGAGCAACGCCGCGUGAGUGAUGAAGGUCUUCGGAUCGUAAAACUCUGUUGUUAGGGAAGAACAAAUUUGUUAGUAACUGAACAAGUCUUGACGGUACCUAACCAGAAAGCCACGGCUAACUACGUGCCAGCCGCCGCAGUAA
rnacentral:rRNA from 1 species